ACCAAAAAAAAACCCAAAACAACAAAAAAUAGUGAAAGGAAAAGCCUUUCAGAGAGACUAAGCUCUGUUCAAAAUUUUUGUACUCUCUCUCCACACCCCCACACCACCCAACCCUGAAGUGGAAACUUAAGGGUUUUUGGGAGAGUCUGUUGUGUUAGAUGGUGUUUUGCUGGGGCAAACAGGUGAAGGAGGGUUUUCCUAAAGUGGACACAGAUCAAAGACUAAGGUAGACUCAUGAAGGAACGUUUCACUGAAGCAGACAUCAAGAGAAUGUUCUGCUAAAACAAACACAUGAAGAGACUCGUGAUGAAGGAUUCUUUGCUAACGGCUUGCAUGUAUUGAUUGGUCCACCUUAUAUUGCAUAGUUGAGCUCUCCUUGUCGGGACUCCAAGGACUUGGGCUGAUUGGAUGCAUGUGCUGAGGCACGACACACAGAGGACACAUGAUGUUUGGAGGGCAUAAAUAGGAUUGGACGGAGUGAUGGAGACAGAGCGUGGCUUGCUGGUACAGCUAGCUGAGCAAUGCUCGUGGGUCCCGAGUCUUCACUGAUCUUCACUUCCCUGGGAGAGGCACACCUGAGAACGUCUCCUGGUGUUCCUGUUGGUCCCUCGGCCUGGCUGUCUGCUAGGUCAUGUUACUGCUGUUGCUAACCUGACUCUACUGAACUGGAUUGCUGGUGUAUCCAUGAGAUGUUUGCAAGUGGAUCAAGCUGCCGCUACCAACCUGUGAAUUGAACUGCCAAUUUUCAGACAACUCAGAUGGGAGUUGCUCCAAAGAACCUUUCCAAACAGAUCCACUCAGCCCUACCCCCAUCCCUUGUCCUUUCUUUCAUACUACCUCUGGUGGGUGGUGGGCUACAGGGGAGGUUAAAUUGAUUAAGAACCAUCAUUAAAAAUAGGAUUUGAAAAAAAUUAAAGUUAUACCAGCCCCUACAAACACCCUAGAAGAACACAGAAUGUAAGAGUAGAAAUGUGUUCGUGUAUUGCAGUCACCCUGGGGAGAUGAAGGGGUCAGGGAUCCUAUUGUCAUUAAUUUCCCACACUCGGGACAAGUUUGGGUAGGGGUCCAGGGCCUGUCGUUGUGUUGUUGUUGAUUUUGUUGUUGCUGUUGUUGCUUAUUAAGCUCCCCCAACUAAUUGUGAUGCUUUGGUUUUGUUUUUCACUUCCCUGAAGAUCAGCCCUGGACAGGUGCUGCUGUCCAAAGGCAGAAACUAAAGAAUGAGAAACACCUAUCAGAUCUGAGACUCUCAAACUGUAAACAUUGAUUUAAUGUCUUUGCUCUCCUAGGAGUCACAUCGCCCUAAAGACUCCUUUAUGAAAUGAGUUCCUAGGCAAACUCAGUCUAUCCUUUGAUGGUAAAAUUUUUCACAGAAGCUGCACGAAGUCUGAUUCAAUCAGCCUGAGAACCUAAGAUGAUAGUAGGACCUUUGUCUGGUCUAUGUUCCCAGGACUACUAUACACCCCACCCCCAAACACUGCUAAUGCAAGACAGGAAAUGUAAUUAAUGAUCUUGAUAAGUCUCGCCCAGUACUCCAAGGCUGAACAAGUCACUUAUUUGUCAAGUAGAACACCAGUUGGUUUCUCUAAAACAAUGAGUGUGAUUCAGGUGUUUCAUAUCUGCUUCCUGUGGCCCUUCUCUUAUAGAAAGGAGAUUUAGCAGAUAGCAAGUUACUUUUUCAAAAAGCUAAUCAACACCAAGAUUAGAGUGUUUGUUCUCUUAGAUACCCUUCUCUUGGCAGAACAAGCUAUACCCACAAGAAGACAUUCUGGGUUGUUUUUUGUUUUGUUUUGUUUUGUUUUUUCCUUGACAAUAUGGUUUUAUUUGCCCUGGGAUCAACUUAUUUUCCUGGACUUCUUUUCCCCAAGGAUAUAGAAGUAGACACCGGGAGAAUUUUAUUUAAAAGCCAGUAGUGUGGCAUAGUGGAAAGUCAAAUGUACAUUUGACUCACUUUGCUGCUCUUUAAAUACACCAGACAUCCCAUACACAAGAAUUACUUCUGGUCUGAGUAGUGGUUAUUUCCCACUUCUCCAGACUCUUUCAAGUCUCUUAUAGCAACCACAGCAAAUAGUGUCAUGCCCCUGUGGGAGGACGAGAGGGCAAGAGAGGGCUGUGAAGGAAAACCCUUGAGAAUGUUCACAGCAUAAAGGUCUUUUGUCCUGAAACAAAUCGAAACAGAUUCAUUUCUAAACCUCUUAUGUAAAUACAUCGAUGUUCACCACCUUGAUCUGAACCACGGUGUAUUGAUAAGGGUAAGCCCUUAAUCGAUGACUCUUUAGAUACAUAAUUGAUUCUACUACCUUAGUAUAACUGAUCACAUAGAAAGGCUUUUGAGUACUGAAUGCUUUUUCUUCUUGAGAGAAACUGCCAGCUCAUGCAAUGACUUUGUAUAAGCUGGGGGAAAGGCACCAUUCCCAAGACACUUCCCACACAUCACAAAUUCUAAAAAUGAGCUUUGGGGAAAUCCUUCCCUGCAUCUGCAAUGUAACAAUGCCUGCUCUAGUGUUUUCUUGUCCAUCUGUCACACUCCAGUUCUCUGAGGAACCAGAUCUUUGUCCCUCCAACAUGGCCGUGGAGCCAAUGUUAAGCAGAUUUACCCUACUAGGCCUGGUCUGUCUCUAUGUCUCCUGAAGAGGCUUAAUGUUAUAGAUAGAUAGAUAGAUAGAUAGAUAGAUAGAUAGAUAGAUAAAAUACCCUGGGAAUUCAGAAUAGACAGGAAAUCCAGAGCCCUCAAUAGACACAAUCCCCACCACCACCUCUGCCGCUUGACUUUCUAAAGAGCUCUGCAGAAGAUAACUCCUUACCAAGCUCACCAACCAAUGGCUGCCGAACAAAAUGAGGGACAAAGACAUUCUUCCCAGCCCUGAGGAAUACGAGUAGUGAAUAUUCUUUUUCUACAGGCUGGUUGUAGUCUUAGGUCUCCACAGGCUACUGACUGGUGGAUCACUGUCUGCCUGUAAACAUUCUGCUACAGUCCAUCCGCUGCCUGUAGCCGCUGGGGAAGCCCUUCUCUUUAUGCUCAGUGUGAGCUGUCCAUUUAGUGUCUCCUCUCCAGAGCAAAUGCCCUCUGCGCUAACAAGGACAAGGGCUACUUAGGAGUUAAGCACACUACCACAAACCUCCUUGAAUAUCCUAGUGAACGUUUCCCCAGCUUGUUCAUUAAUAACAAGAGUUUUCUGUUUCUCAACAAUUGCACCAAGAGCCAUCUGAAGAGGAGGCAGCCAUUUAAGAACUCUGUACUGCCAAAGCAGUCUUCUGGCUUCUAGAAUGAGCCCUCUUUGUAUUUUCCUUGCUAUUGGUAGUUCAAACCUUUAUCCCAUCAGUAAAGGAAGAAAUAUUUUGUUUUGUUUUCCUUUUUACAAGUGAACUUUUCUCCAGUCACCUUCCACACUGAGGAUAAAGUACUAAAUUUACAAAUGCUAAAACCCAAGUUCUCACUCUUCUGGGCCAACACAACAGAGACAGGUUUUGGCAUUCCCAUCGUCCUUUAAAAUUACUACAGAAAGAGAAAAUGGUGGCCACAGAUCCGAUGUGUAUACAGUUAAACCUUAAGAAAACUGCUUCCAAGACAGAAUUCAGAUGUUCCAGUGUUUGUUGGAAUGGAUCAAUAACAACAACAAAAGUGAAAAAUCACAUUUCAAAUCCUGGUUGCUUUGCCUGCAGGACCUCCUUGAGAUGGACUCUACUGGAAACAAUUCCAUCUUCCAGAGUGGAUAUUCACUUGUUUGCUCUCCCAGCCAGGAGUCUGGAAGAAGCCAGCAGGCAGUGUAGUCAUUUGGUAAUGUCCUUCUGGCUGCCAAGGUGGAUUAGUGCUGGGAGAUCUUACAACUGGUGAGUAAUGGGCAGUGUUUACUGAUCCUCCGAGAUCCCCAAGGUGUGAUUAUUUUCAUCUGUAGACUUCUGUCAUCCCCCAAAGUGUGCUCUGUCAUUUCCUCUCUUCUUCCUUCACUGGCCUCUCCAGGCUGCGCUAUAAGGACAACAAGGCCCAGGAGUCGUCACCGGUCUAGUCAAACCCAACUGGUAAACACUUCCCAGACCCUGCUAAAGUGAGAGGUUGUCCUGACACUUAACACUGGCUUGCUUUGUACAGAGCUAGGGAUGGUCAUUUAUUAAAAUGUGAUUUUAAUAGCCAUGUUCUCACUCCCAGCACUGUUUUAUUAUGCCCCUACGUCACCCUCAGGGUGGCUUUAGAAUGCCAUAGGCCUGUGAAGAUCUCAGUCCAUGAACAACCCCACAUAUGGAAGAUGUGGUUUCAAAACUAAUUGUUCUUUGCAGUUUUAAAUUGUUCUUAUUGUUCAUUCUCCGACCGCUACUGUCACUGCCACCACCCCAAUUAUUCAACUUGAAUUCUGUUCAUUUCUGGAUUGGCAGAUCUGUAAAAGCCUUCUGACAUCAAAGAAGGCCACGUUCUAGAAUUCAGAUUCUGCAUACACAUAAACUAGAUAAAUUCUAAAGCUAAAAACAAGGGGUAACGCGUUCAUCAUCUAGUAUGCUUGAGGCCCCUGGCUCAAACACCAGCCCAGCGAAAAUGUAAAUGAAUAAAAAUCAAAAAGAAAUAAAAAAUAAAAUUAAAAGCUCAAGUUCUAUCAGUGCCCCCGACUGGCUUGGAUUCCCUCAAUGACCUACCUCAACCCUGAGUUCCCUCCUUGGUAACCUGGGCAUAUUUCCUACUCCAAAAGAUCAAGGGUGUAUAGAGGCUAACUCUGCCUGAGUGUGAGAGGGUGCCAACCACAGGUACUAGUGUUCAGAAAUGCUUAUCCUUUCGGUUUCCUGUCUAGUCAGUUGGGAACUUUCUAGUCAGUUGUAGAACGUUUAGCUAAAGCUGGAUUCUUUGGGAGGGGACUCUACAGCCCCUCACCACUGGCUGAGCUCAAAUCAAGAGUUGGGCAGCUGUCUCCUGGUUCUAAUCCCUUGCUUCCUUCUUUCGUGGACCUGAGCCCAAAUCCUUUCCUGAGCCUUCAAUACCUGUUUUCCUCCUGGUCAUUAAGAAGAUCAGGAACCAAGGGCAUCUUCGAAGAUCCCGUCAACCCUAGAGUCAAAUCUUAAGGUCACCCAAAACAGCAAAUCCAGAAGUUUGGACAACUGGGCCAAGUGUUUCUCAGAACCUGGGAAUUUCAUAUCAGCAAGUCCAUCCCAGAAGAGGCACUGUGUUAUUGCCUAAGCCAAAGGUUGGGCCUGAUAUUAGGUAAUGGAGGCCCCAAGCCAGAGGUCCUGCCUUGGCUGGUGCAGAAUCACACAGGAGCUUUGUUUGAAAACAAAAUAAAACAGGUGGCUGCCUUUCCAAAGCUGGGGACCCUGUUCUGGAAAGAUUCACAAGCUAUCCUGAUGAUGGCUCCUGUUGGGAAACCAUGCUUAGAUCAGCCCCCAAUCUCUUCCUCCGAUGAUCUGGAAAGGGGCUGAAUUUUUGAUAAGUCGUCACCUGCUUCCAGCUGAUCACCAGCCUGGAGCUGAUAGCCACUAAUUGCGGCUUCUGAGCCCCUUUGUUCCACACCUCACUCCAUUAGCCCAGGAGAGAACAAGGACAGUGUAUUUGAGCCAAAAUGAUACAAUCAAAAGAGAACAGGGCUUGUAGAAUCAGCAGCAGCUUGUUUGGAACAAUGGAUAUGAGUUCAAAAGAUUUAAAAGCCAGAGACUCAACACUGAUCAAAAGACAGAUAAAAGUACUGCUCUUUGCCAAGGCAAUCUGACACGCUACAGCGCUCACUGUGCAGCUAACCCUUGUGGGACCUUUGCUUUAUAGAGAAAGGAGAAAGGAAAGAAAAUAGAAGAUUGUGGGGGAAAGCCUGGAUGUGGUUGAAACAAAUGAGCAGGACAGUAACCGAGGGCCAUCUUGUUGGGAGAAGUCUGUUCUGCCUUCAUAAACUCAUCUCCAGGCCUUUCCUACACCCUGACCGCUCCAGAGUGGUGUUCUACGACUGACAGUGACAUCCAACUAACCAAUUCAACAACACAGAUGGGCGCCGGGAGGCUGGGAGGCACCCGAGCAAGUGGGAAUUCCUUAAUGAGCUGCAAGAGGAAAAUCUCGAAAGGCAAGCCCAAGCUCCCUCGCCGAUCCGCAGCUCCGUGGCCUCUCCAGACAGCGCCCGGUGAAUCCCAUUUCACAUGCUGAAGCUGUUCUUCCUGUAGCCUCACCCCAAAUCCUUAAAUUUUAUAAAACCACUCCAAAUAUAAGCAGGAUGUUACUGAUGUUCAGAUGCCCGUCAGGAGGACAUGCCCUUUAUACAUGAAGAUUCCCUCGCUGACCUUUAUGCAAGAAUAGACUAAUCAUGACAUAACUUCAUAAUCCCACACAAACCCAUUCUCUUGCUCCUGUGUUCCUCACGGUCCCUCGUCCCUCAUCUCAAGGGUGGUCGGGAAGGUGGAUCUGUGGGUGGACCUGGCUAUCCUGGGCUAUCCUGGCUCGAUACCCUACUCCUGCAGGUGGACAAAACAUCCCUGCUACUCCCCCAAGCUACGGAUUGCUGUGUUCCAAAGAGAUAAAAUCGUUAAAAUGAUUUUAAUAAAAAAAUAAAAUAAAAUCACAAAUGGCAUGUGCCUAUGGUACAGAUCUCAUUAAACCUCGCAGCUGGAAAACCCUAUGCUUUCGAAGCCUGGCCUCUCCCUCCACGUGACUUACAAGGGGUCCAGGAUCUGAUUUACCCUUUUUGGCUCUGGUACCCAAGCAGGCCUGAGCCAAACAACUGUCUCUGCACGGUGGUGAUACCCAUCUUUAAGAGCACAGCUAGUAGAUGCAACUGUAGCGAGUACGGAAUGAACCAGCUCAGCCCAGGGAAGGACCUGCUGAGCACACACAUCCGGUGAGGUGCCGGCCAUCUCUUCUGGGCCACCCUGGAAUCUCACCGUGCCCUACUUUUCUGGGAUUAGUCCUGACUUCUGAUUAAUCAGCACCUUCUGGCCUUCUUAGGGUGAUGUUGUCUUUGCUAGAGACAAACCAGGCAGAGCUUUGAUGGCAGCCAAGGCAGAGAGGCCUGGGCUACUGAGGUCACACCUAAGCCCACAAGGCCACAGCCAGGUCCGCCCACAGAUCCACUGUUUGCUUUUAAGUACAAAGGCUCAAAUGCCCUCUUUGUGUCAUAAUUGUGAAACUAGAUAGAACAUGUUUUGUUUGUUUGUUUGUUUGUCUUUAAGGUGAAAUAUCAGAGCCCAGGAAAAUCUCAGGAGAAGCGCCUUGCCUGUGGGCACAAAGCCCUGGGGUUUGGCUGGAGCAUCUCAAAGAAAAUCGUUUCCAAGGGAGAACUUUGUAUACUCAUCCAAAGCCCUUCUCUUCAUUCUAGCAUCCAUUCUCUUUGAUGGCCUCCGUUCUGGUCUAUUUUCUUUCCCCAUGCAACAAAAUUUCAGGAGUUCAAUAUUGCCAAGCUAUAGACGUUUUAUAAGUUGUUUUAAUUUUAGCAAAAACGUGAAUUUUUUUUAAGAGAACCUUUGUCUUGCCUUCAAUUCUUUCAAAUGUUAUCCCCUUUCCUAGUUUCCCCUCCGAAACUCCCCUAUUCCCUCCCCUCUUGCCCUCUUCCCCAACCCACCAAUUCCUGCUUUCUGGCCCAGGCAUUCCCCUAUACUGGGGCAUAGAACAUUCACAGGACCAAGGGCCUCUCCUCCCAUUGAUGACCGACUAAGCCAUCCUUUGUUAAAUAUGCAGCUAGUCCCUCCAUGUGUUUUCUUUCUUGGUGGUUUAGUCCCUGGGAGCUCUGGGGUUACUGGUUAGUUCAUAUUGUUGUUCCUCCUAGGGGGCUGCAAACCCCUUCAGCUCCCUAGGUACUUUCUCUAUCUCCUUCAUUGGGGACCCUGUGCUCUGUCUAGUGGUUGACUGUGAGCAUCCACUUCUGUAUUUGUCAGACACUGGCAGAGCCUCACAGGAGACAACUAUAUCAGACUCCUGUCAGCUAGCUCUUCUUGGCAUCUGCAAUAGUGUCUGGGUUUGGUGGUUGUUUAUGAGAUGGAUCCCCAGGUGGGGCAGUCUCUGGAUGCUCCUUCCUUCUGUUUCUGCUCCAAACUUUGUCUCUGUGACUCCUUCCAUGGAUAUUUUGUUCUCCAUUCUAAGGAAGAAUGAAGUAUUCACACUUUGGUCUUCCUACUUCUUGAGUUUCAUGUGUUUUGCAGAUUGUAUCUUGGGUAUUCUAAGUUUCUG
rnacentral:lncRNA from 1 species